UGAAAAGGGCAUCAAUUAAUCCAUAUUUCGCGAAUUUGCAGCGGCGAUGAAAUUCAAAGCCGAUUGUAACGAAUGUGUCCACUUCUGUGUCUUGAAUUACCAUUGUGAAAUGUGUUUGGAAACAUCUUGUGUUGAGGAGAAAUGUGCUUGUAACGCUGUCUUUAAGGGGUGUAAUAAAACGAGUGGUUGCAAAAGUGUCGUUUAAUGGACAGAACAAAAGUUGUCUUGCAGAUAAACCACC